UAUCUGUUUUUUAGCUUGUGCUGCUUUGCUUUGGUGCAUGAAAUAGCAUUUGAUGUUUUAGAAUCAGAGAAUAGUUAGGUUGGGAAGGACCUUAAAAAUCAUCUCAGUUACAAUUCCUCUGCUAUAGUCAGGGGGCACCUUCCACUAGACCAGGUUGCUCCAAGCUUGAAACAUUUCCAGAGAUGGGGCAGCCACAGCUUCUCUGGGCAACCUGUUCCAGUGCCUCACCAUACUCACAGUAAAUAAUUUCUUCCUAAUACCUAAAUUGAACCUAACCUCCUUCAGAUGGAGGUCUUGUAUUCUCCCUUGCUAUAUCACUUCAUGCCCUUUUGAGACACCUGCCCCCUCCAGCCUUCUUGUAAGGUACUAAAAAGUGCUCUAAAGUCUCCUUGAAUCAUCUGCCUAUGAGAAGCUUUAAGAAAGAAGGAAAUUAUAGUCUCCUCUGAACAGAAAAUGUAUGACAGCCCAUUUUGUGGGGAGGGUUGUAGUAGACUUUGCAGUAUUGUGGAGCUAUGGCUGUGCCAAGUCCUAGCCAAAGGCUCUUUUAUCACCUGGAGACAUCCUGAUGAAAUUGAGGUCUUAAUAGAGAUGACAGAAAAAACCCCUCAGUUUUGGAGCCAGUGUAGACAAAACAUACGAAUGUGGUUGGUAGUGUAUGAAUGUUGGUAAGGAUAUGUUUUUGAUAUUUGGGUUAAAACAAUUUGGACUAAGAGAAUAGUGUGGGGGAAUUAUAUUAUUUAAGACUGAAAGAAAAUGCCCAAAUCUUCAAUAAAAUCGCAUAUUCUCUAUGAGUCAUGUGAUCUGUAAGCUUAGAAUACUUUUUAGUAAAUCCAUCAGUCUUUGGUGACAUGUAUGUUAAUAUCAAAUGUCAAAGAUGAGUGAUCAUGACUCUCCAAAAUGUUAACCAUUAGGUAUUCUUUGAGAGCAGGUGGGGAGAAAGGUAGUAUGGGGUGUGACCUCCUGUUUGUGUUUUUGCAUGUCUGGUGGAUGGUGAUUAUUAGAGCUUUGUUAGAGCUCUUAGAGCUGUGGCCCAGUAGAUUUCCUUAGGACAAUAAUGGAACUAACAGGUGUCAGACCUCUCUGAAGAGCGGGGAGGUGAUAAGUAGCGUAUCUCAAACAUAGCAUUGAAAUGUUAUUUCCCUAUCUAUUUGCUUCUGCUUUGCCAGCACAUGUUGCUGCAGUAAAUAUCAGUAUUAUGGAAAUAACUUCAUUCAUGUCCUAGUUAUGGUAACUACAGUUAGCUUCUGUAAUUUCCAUUUUUCUCUAGUGAUGCUGGGACUCUGAUCCCAAAUAAGAAGUGGCUUUGCCUUGGAGUUGAACAGCUUUAGACACUGCAUUUGCCACAUUUGUUGGCCUUGUGCUGCCUAGUCAAGCUCAGUCUUGUUAGCAUUCUGAUUUGAUAUUUGUUUCUUUGCAUACACAUGAUACUGGAUGUAGUUUUACAAGAAGAUUUCUGAAUCUGCUGAUGUCUACGUUGCAGGAGACUUGUAGUUUCAGGUUCUGCAGUUCUUAGUUUCUGUCAGAGCUAUGGCAUCUCUUGUUGGCUUCCGUGGUCAGCCUCUUUCAGGUCUGACUGGUCCUGCAAGCAGUAGGUCCUCUGUCAAGCAGCCUGCCCUCUUCAUUCCUGUGCAUGUCUCAACAGCUUCGCAGCUGGAGACGUUUGGGAAGGGUGGUAGCGAUGUGUAUCUGCUGUUUGUUACAUUGCACCAGUCUCUUCUGUAAAGGCUUCUGGCUUGUGUCUUCAGCCUGAUACUCUUGGAAGGGAAUUUCUGUCCCUUGCUGUGUUCUGUGUAACUUUUUGGAUAAGCUGGUUGGUGUGCAUUGUAUCACUACUUGAUUAUGUCAGAAUUUCAGUCUGGCUGAAGGUAUCUACAGAAGAAGAGACAGAAAUGCUGUGCCUGAUACAUUUCAUAUUGUAAAAGCAGCCAGAUGGGUUUUAACACUGUCAGAAUCUGUGCCUGCUGUCACUACAUCUACAUUCCCCUCAAGAGUUUAAAUUUAAUUUUCCUCCAAAGUUUUGUAAUAGAAAAUUUGCUUGGUUUAUUUCUAAAAUGGUUUGAUCAUAAAAUAGGUGUGGGUUGAAUCUGCUUUUAUUUUAAAGAGGCACAAUUUUGUAUCAUGAGUAGGGUUUGAUUCUGUUGAUCAGUGCGUUGAUAAGAAAGUGGUUUGAAACAAUGGUUGCAAAACUUGUAGACUUCUAUUAUGGACUUAGUUCUGCAGUUUUCCAUAAUCUUCUAAGAAAACCUACAAUUUAUGAGAAUAUGGAUUUGUGUGUGUCUUUUCAUGUUUGCAGACAAGGACUAGAAAA